GGAGUCGGCCGGGCAACCGCGACAUCCCUCCGGGAUGCCGAGGAAAGUCCGGGCUCCACAGGGCACGGUGCCAGGUAACGCCUGGGCGGCGCGAGCCGACGGAAAGUGCAACAGAAAGAUACCGCCGAACGGUCCUGCGGGAUGCGUGGCAAGGGUGAAAUGGUGCGGUAAGGGCGCACCGCGAGCCUGGUAACAGGCCGGCACGGCAAACCCCACCGGGAGCAAGACCGAAUAGGGACCCCAUGACGUUGCCCGCGUCGGGUCCGGGUAGGUUGCUUGAGCGUAUCGGUGACGAUGCGCCCAGAGGAAUGGUUGCCCACGACAGAACCCGGCUUACAGGCCGGCUCCGCCA
rnacentral:RNase_P_RNA from 2 species